GCCCGGCGGUGUCCGCCAGGAGAGGGUGGUGGUGCGGUGGCGAGCAGGGGAGUGCUUCCCAGCCAGCGACCUGGCCGCAGACGUGCUCGACCCCUGGCUGGUCACGGCUCCCGAGUGUGGGGCUCUGGAGUGUGGCGCGAUCACACUCAGCUCUGGAGAAGCUGAGGGGACAGGGGUGUCCCAUUGGUGCGUGUUCCCGCGCCGUCGCCUGUUUUCCCGGACCCGUGGCAUCUCUUGCUGCAACUGGCAAGGUAUUAAUGUCAAACUGGACCAUUCUACAAAGCUAAAAGUCUUAAAAAGAGGAUUUGGGAAAGUCUUUGGAUUACAUUGAAAUUCAGCCAAUAUGGCCAAGUAUGGUGAACAUGAAGCCAGGCCUGAUGAUGGGCAGAAUGAGUUCAGUGACAUCAUUAAGUCUAGAUCUGCAUCUCACGUUUACUGGACACAUACUGUGAGCAGAUGCAGUACUGAGUUUAAUCCUCACAACCACUGUUGUACAGAUGACGAACACGAGCAUACAGAAGUAGUUUGCUGCUCUGGCCUUUUUUCUACUUCUCAGUAGUGCCCCUCCCACCAAGGCCUUUUGCACAUUUUUCUUUUCUCUGUUUUUAUUUUGUUCCUUGUCAUGUUUUCCCUCCUGACUCUGGAAAGUAGCUCCCCACUUAUUAAUUAUUUUUGAGACAGGGUCUUGCUAUGUAGCCUAAACUGAUCCUCCUGUCUCAGCCUCCCAAGUGUUGGGAUUACAGAUAAGUAUUACCAUGGCAAGCCUAGUCACUCCUGAAUGUAUCACAUUAUUUAAGUUCCCUCUACUGUUCUUAUCAUUAUCUGGUACUUUAAGAAAGGUAUUAAGUAUUUGUUAACAUUCUUCCCACUAGACCAGGGACCAGUACAUCCCCGGCACCAAGUCCGUGCCUAGUGAUAAAUAUUUAUUCAAUGAAUAAAGGCUUUAGAGCUUGAAACUGCCAGAGCUGGGAUUAGAACUCAGGUGAUCUGACUUCAUAAACCCUGCCAGGUGAGUGCUGAAUCUUCUAAUUUACAAGGCAGUUUAUCCUUUGGCACUGGGAGAUUCUUCUUCAUUUUGUGUCUAAAUCUGUCCCCGCUUGUACUUAUAACAUCCUUCUGCCUCUGCCUUCCUUCAUAGUUACCAAGGUUGGAACCCUGGGGUGGGAGGCAGAGGUCCUCAGGCUUUGGCAAGGGAGGGCAAUUGUCAGAGACAGAACCUGCUGCUCUCGCCUUCCCUGGUUUUUGGCUCUGCUCUGCCAUUCUCUGUUGAGAGCUGACAAAGGGAAAUACCAGAAGACAGGCAGUCCUUCAGGUGGAAGAUAGAGAGUUUGAUAAUUUACUUCUGACGUGAGUUCCCUUUUUUCUUUUUCUUUGACUGCUGCUCAAGGCUUUUAGCAGGUUAGUGAAAAAGGUAGUGGAUUUCAGAUGCAUUAACAUUUGGCACAGGGUGAGCACUGGUCUGAUGCCCAGAUAGGUAACUGUGUUAUUGAAAGAGUUGGUAGAGGUGUUUGGA